ACUCAAUGCUUGCACAGGGCAAACCAGAAUCUGCCAAUCAAAGCCCUAACAUCUGGAUACACCCAAUGGUCUAUCAAUAAAUGCACCCCAGCAGGAUCAGGCCCUCGUAACAAGGGGUGUCUAAAUCAACGGGGACUCUGAUAAUAUCAAUAAGUUCAGACUUUUCUUUUCUUUAUCAAAGCAACAUAUUCAUUAAUGAGGUA
rnacentral:misc_RNA from 1 species